rnacentral:rRNA from 1 species
UACGGGGGGGGUAAGCGUUGUUCGGAAUUACUGGGCGUAAAGGGCUCGUAGGCGGCCAACUAAGUCAGACGUGAAAUCCCUCAGCUUAACUGGGGAACUGCGUCUGAUACUGGAUGGCUUGGAUUCGGGAGAGGAAUGCGGAAUUCCAGGUGUAGCGGUGAAAUGCGUAGAUAUCUGGAGGAACACCGGUGGCGAAGGCGGCAUCCUGGACCAAUAUUGACGCUGAGGAGCGAAAGCCAGGGGAGCAAACGGG